rnacentral:lncRNA from 1 species
GAACGUCGUGAGCAAUAUAAGACGGUUGCAGCCCGUGCACAAGACCGAAAACCCUGACGAACCUCCUCCAAUCACAAUACCUCUACCUAAACCGGUGAUUCCCGAUAAUGUCAUGUUCAAUGCCUUACAUGCGAACGCCCUGCACGCCAAUGCGAUGCACGCUAAUGCCCUCCAUGCGCAGUUGGCGGUUGCGCAGCUACACUUGUCUAGAGAAUAGAGUUGAAUGAUAAACUUGCCUUUGUAAAUACAACACACACUAUAAUUAUCUAGGUUCAUAAAAUGUUUUACUAUAAAUAAUAAUCAUUAAGGAAUAAUAUCUAGCGCUUUAUGCAUAUUUGUAGCUGGGUGACAUUAUUGUCGAUAGGAUAGGUUUAAGUGCAGUCUUAUUACAGUUCAGUGGACUUAUUGAAAGGUCUUGAAAUCUCACUUCAGUCUUUCAUCUAUGUAUAUUUUCAUUUUUGUAUUGUCAUAGAGGUUUUAUCUAAGUUAUUUUCAGAAUUAGUUCGAUGUUUUGAGCAGACUGUAAUUAGAAUUAUUAUAUGGAGCUCUUUCCCUUCGGGGUUCAGAAAAUCCGAAAUACUUUGAAGAAUGCACAAUUGCCUGGAAAUAUUUUCAAAGUUCGUGUAACAAACCGCAGUAAAAAUCGUUAGUUUUGUAGAAGUAAUGGUUAAUCACAGAUUGGGCGAUAUCUACAUUUGCAAUCAAUUUCAAAAUAAGCUAAAAAGCUCAGCCUAAUGAUGAAAUUGCAGCCAUUCGCCAUUGGGAUAUUUACUUUAUCGUCAACAACCCCUAAAAAGUCCCGAAAAAUUCAUUAUUAAGAAAAAGUCAGCAUCUCUUCAACAUACCAAUAAUUGUUAAGGAGUAUUUGAAACAGUUUUUUGGCAAUCUUAACUUCAGACUACAAAUAUCCCACUGGGAUUUGUAAUUGUAAAAAAUUCAGCAAGCUGCAAUUUCAUCAGUAGCAAGAGUUUAAUGGUCCUGAACUAUUGAUUUAAACAUGCAAUAUGUCAAUAACAUAAGAUUUUGCCAUUAUUUUAAAUAAUUUCAUUUCAUGAAAUUAAUCAAUUCAUCAGCAAGUGCAAUUUUUAUAAUUGCCUAUAAAACUUUUCAGACAGAUUAAUGUGGAUUCAUUUCUGUUCUACCAUUUUUAUAUUAUUUAAGUUAUAAAUUUGUAUCUCUGUUCAUUCAGCUUUUUAGUAAGAUAUAGAAGAGUCAUACCUACUUUAUUUUUAUUUUGUCUCCACUUCAAGUUACGAUCUCAUGAAAAAACAUGAGAUUUCGUGAAUAAUAUUAUCUGAAAGAAAGUGGGAACAAAAUGAAAAAUGGAGUGUGGGCCCUUCUGUUGUUUUGUACCUUUUACAUUUUGUUCGUCUAACCUUUGCAUAUCUAGUUGUAUUUGUCAUAAACUUACAUUAGCGUUUGUUUAUCAACAAAAUUAUUUCACUCUAGUAAUUUUUCAGUCAAGAAGUACAAAGUUGAAUUUGCACCAAAGUGGUAAUAUGGUACUCCCACUUUCAUGAUAUCAACUCAAUAAUAAAUGUGUUUUCCAUCUAACUAGAAUUAUUGGAAAAAUUAAAAACUACUGCACAGAAAAGUGUAUGGCUGUUUUCUCAUUGAAUAUCUUUCGAGGAAUAUAAUAUAGUUUAAAAUAUGUCACUUUCGUUGUCAAUAGUAUUUGGGAAUAUUGUAAAAUGAAAACUUUUUUAUUUUUUAUGUGAAACUAUCUGUAAGACUUUGCUGUAAAUAUAUUUUGUUAGAUAGUUGUUAGGUUAAUAUAAUCAUAUAGAAAA